rnacentral:sRNA from 12 species
UGGGUAGACGAAUUGACCCCAACUGAAGUUCAAUUCUAACGUUAAAAGGAGUUUUAUAUG